rnacentral:rRNA from 1 species
UCCGUGGCUCAGGNUGAAGCCUGGCGGCGUGCUUAAUACAUGCAAGUCGAACGAAGCGACUUUUUGGCGGAUCCCCUCGGGGUGAAGCCGGUUGUGACUUAGUGGCGGACGGGUGAGUAACGCGUGGGUAACCUGCCUUAUACAGGGGGAUAACAGUUAGAAAUGACUGCUAAUACCCCAUAAGCGCACGAUAUCGCAUGAUGAUGUGUGAAAAGAUUUAUCGGUAUAAGAUGGACCCGCGUCUGAUUAGUUAGUUGGCGGGGUAACGGCCCACCAAGACGACGAUCAGUAGCCGACUUGAGAGAGUGAUCGGCCACAUUGGGACUGAGACACGGCCCAGACUCCUACGGGAGGCAGCAGUAGGGAAUAUUGCACAAUGGGGGAAACCCUGAUGCAGCGACGCCGCGUGAGUGAUUGAAGUAUUUCGGUAUGUAAAGCUCUAUCAGCAGGGAAGAUAAUGACGGUACCUGCAUAAGAAGCCCCGGCUAACUACGUGCC